UCUUUAGUAACCCAAUAAUAACCGGUCCCUUCCCUCCUCAUUCUCUUCAUACAUAUAUUAUAUAUGUAGUGAACGACAGAAGCGCUAUUGCACUUUCUCUCUCCAUUUUGCCAUUUUCUAAGAGAGAAAGGAGAUUCCCUUUAAAGUCUUUGAUCGAUCUCUAUCUUCGUUUUCCCGGGGAAAUUAGGGUUUGAAUAUCGCUCAUCGAUCUCUAUUCCUCGAUUUCGAAGGUGAAUUUCUUUCUCUUUUAUCUUUCUCCUGCGAUAACUGAUCGAUUGAUCGAUCGCCCCUCUCUCGUCUGCACACGCACGUAAUUUGUGUUUUAGUUUUUUCACUUUGUUUUUCUUUUAUCUUCGUAUCGUUUUCAUUUAUGUUUUUUUUAUCGAUUUUUUUACUUUGAUUUUCUGCAUCUGAUCAUCUGGCAUCUCUUCUCUAUUUCCCGCUCGCAGUUGUUUCAGUGUAAGUUUGUAUGUUUAGGGUUGGAAUUUUGAUUCGUUCGCUUUUAUUUUUAUGCAAAAUGAGAGCAUCUCGACUUUUGGCUAUUGGUAGUUACGGAGGUUUCCUAGAGAAUUUUUUUGUAGUUGUUGUUAUUGCUGAUUUGCCUCUGAUUUGUGCUGAUAGUAUGCGAGAUCUAUUCUGUGUAUUUGUUUCAGUGAGUGUCUAUUCCACGUAGUACAAAGCCCUUUGAGCAAACUUUAAGAAAUUUAUUUAUUUCAAAUCUUCUGUAUGCUUCAAGUUUUUGCUUUGUACGAAUGCGACUCCAAGGUAGAACGUCUCCUUAGGUCCAUUCAUAGCUAGGCGCAUCAUACAGUAUAAUAUUUUGGGAACUUCAAGAAAGUUGUGUCUUCUUGAUGUUUAGACUUUAGGGACCUACUUGUAUGACAUCUUCAAGCUUUUGGCUUGUAUGGGUACUAGUUGAAGUUGGAGCAUUUCUUUAGAUCUCUUAUUAGCAAUGCACAUUAAAUUUUUUUGCGAACUUUGAGG
rnacentral:lncRNA from 1 species